rnacentral:sRNA from 1 species
CCGCCCGUCACACCAUGAGGGUUGAUAAUACCAGAAGUCGGUAUUCUAACCGCAAGGAGGAAGCCGCCCAAGGUAGGAUUGAUGAUUAGGGUGAAGUCGUAACAAGGUAUCCGUACGAGAACGUGCGGAUGGAUCACCUCCUUCCUAUGGAGUUAAUACUUUAUAGUAAUUAACUAGUUUUAAUGACCGUUAUGUUUAGUUUUCAGAGAUUAGUUUCUCUGAAAAUAACAAGUAAAUGUUAUUGGAAUUGUUCUUUGAAAACUGGAUAAUAGACAUCUAGUUAUUUUAAUCACAUGAUUAAAAUAACAAUAAUUCAAAAUUUCUGUUAUUUUUAAAAAAUAACUAAAAUUUCGCAGUUAUAUUUGUAAAUGAUUCUCAAAAAACUGAUUUAAAAUCAGGUCAAAUAAUUUAUAAAACUUUGAAGUUACAAAGGGCGUAUGGUGAAUGCCUUGGGAAUAGGAGACGAUGAAGGACGUGACUACCUGCGAUAAGGUUCGGGGAGCUGGAAGUAAGCUUUGAUCCGGACAUGUCCGAAUGGGGAAACCCGGUGAGAUUAAUCUCUCAUCAUCCUAUAAUGAAUAAAUAGUUAUAGUGAAGGUAUACCUAGGGAAUUGAAACAUCUUAGUACCUAGAGGAAAAGAAAGCGAAUGCGAUUCUCUUAGUAGCGGCGAGCGAACGGGGAACAGCCCAAACCAGAUUUAUCUGGGGUUGUAGGACCAUAAAUAGUAGAGUUACAAAACUUGUUUAUAGUAGAAAUGGUUGGGAAACCAUGCCGUAGAGGGUGAUAGCCCCGUAUACGAAAUAGACAAGACUCGAAAUGGAAUCCUGAGUACGGCGAGACACGUGAAAUCUUGUCGGAAUCAACGCGGACCACCGCGUAAGGCUAAAUACUACCUAUUCACCGAUAGUGAACCA